rnacentral:rRNA from 1 species
AUACGGAGGGUGCAAGCGUUGUUCGGAAUCACUGGGCGUAAAGGGCGCGCAGGCGGUUUGAUUAGUCAGAUGUGAAAGCCCACGGCUUAACCGUGGAAGUGCAUUUGAAACUGUCAGACUUGAGUAUCAGAGGGGAAAGUGGAAUUCCCGGUGUAGAGGUGAAAUUCGUAGAUAUCGGGAGGAAUACCGGUGGCGAAGGCGACUUUCUGGCUGAAUACUGACGCUGAGGCGCGAAAGCGUGGGGAGCAAACAGGAUUAGAUACCCCAGUAGUCC